rnacentral:rRNA from 1 species
UACGGGGGGAGCAAGCGUUGUUCGGAUUUACUGGGCGUAAAGGGCGCGUAGGCGGCCACCGCAAGUCGACUGUGAAAUCUCCGGGCUUAACCCGGAAAGGUCAGCCGAUACUGCGGGGCUAGAGUGCAGAAGGGGCAACUGGAAUUCUCGGUGUAGCGGUGAAAUGCGUAGAUAUCGAGAGGAACACCUGCGGCGAAGGCGGGUUGCUGGGCUGAUACUGACGCUGAGGCGCGAAAGCUAGGGGAGCGAACGGG